rnacentral:rRNA from 1 species
GGGAUCCGAAAGGUGACCGACCUUCGGGAGCCAUUACAGGUGUUGCAUGGCUGUCGUCAGCUCGUGUCGUGAGAUGUUCGGUUAAGUCCGCUAACGAGCGCAACCCUCGCUGUGUGUUAUAUGUGUCACACAGGACUGCUGGUAUUAAGCCGGAGGAAGUGGGACGACGUCAAGUCAGCAUGACCUUUAUAUCCAGGGCUACACACACGCUACAAUGGUCAGUACAAUGGGUUGCCAAGCCGCGAGGCGGAGCCAAUCCUAAAAAGCUGGCCUCAGUUCAGAUUGCAGUCUGAAACUCGACUGCAUGAAGUCGGAGUUGCUAGUAAACGCAGGUCAGCUAUACUGCGUUGAAUACGUUCCCGGGGCUU